UACGGGGGGAGCAAGCGUUGUUCGGAUUUACUGGGCGUAAAGGGCGCGUAGGCGGCCAGCACAAGUCAGUUGUGAAAUCUCCGAGCUUAACUCGGAAAGGUCAACUGAUACUGUGCGGCUAGAGUGCGGAAGGGGCAACUGGAAUUCUUGGUGUAGCGGUGAAAUGCGUAGAUAUCAAGAGGAACACCUGCGGCGAAGGCGGGUUGCUGGGCCGAUACUGACGCUGAGGCGCGAAAGCGUGGGGAGCGAACAGG
rnacentral:rRNA from 1 species